rnacentral:misc_RNA from 1 species
UAGAGAGGCACUAACUUAGAGAGGAGAUAAGAUUAUAGACUAUUUGUAAGGCUAAGGCUUAUAUACUCAUUAGCGGUUAGCCUCUCAAGCAAAAGCGAAAAAAGAAAGGAAAAAACAUGGCCUCUGCAUCACUUCUCAAGUCAUCACCAGUCCUUGACAGGUCUGAGUUCGUGAAGGGUCAGUCCCUCCGCCAACCUUCUGCCUCCAUCAUCCGGUGCCACCCCGCCUCCUCCUCAGCCCUCACCAUUCUUGCUGGCUCCUAUGCUGAUGAGCUUGUCAAGACUGCGAAAACUGUUGCAUCACCUGGACGUGGAAUUUUGGCCAUGGAUGAGUCCAAUGCUACAUGUGGGAAACGUCUUGCAUCAAUUGGGCUAGAAAACACUGAGGCUAACCGCCAGGCAUACCGUACCCUUCUUGUGACAGCUCCUGGCCUUGGCCAAUACAUUUCUGGUGCCAUCCUAUUUGAGGAGACUCUCUACCAAUCCACCACUGAUGGCAAGAAGAUGGUGGAUGUUCUUAUCGAGCAAAACAUUGUCCCUGGUAUCAAAGUCGACAAGGGUUUGGUGCCUCUACCUGGAUCCAACAAUGAAUCAUGGUGCCAAGGUCUUGAUGGUCUUGCCUCCCGCACAGCUGCUUACUACCAGCAGGGUGCUCGUUUCGCUAAAUGGCGUACUGUUGUGAGCAUUCCCAACGGCCCAUCUGCUCUGGCAGUGAAGGAAGCUGCAUGGGGUCUUGCUCGCUAUGCUGCUAUUUCUCAGGACAAUGGAUUGGUCCCAAUUGUUGAGCCAGAAAUCUUGCUUGAUGGUGAGCAUGGCAUUGACAGGACUUUUGAAGUAGCACUCAAGGUGUGGGCUGAGGUUUUCUACUACUUGGCAGAGAACAAUGCCCUGUUUGAGGGCAUUCUUCUCAAGCCUAGCAUGGUCACUCCUGGAGCUGAAUGCAAGGACAAGGCCACCCCUCAGCAGGUUUCAGACUACACCCUGAAGCUCCUCAAGAGGAGAAUCCCCCCAGCAAUUCCCGGAAUCAUGUUUUUGUCUGGUGGGCAAUCUGAGGUUGAAGCAACCCUGAACCUGAACGCCAUGAACCAAGGUCCAAACCCAUGGCAUGUGUCCUUCUCAUAUGCAAGGGCUCUCCAGAACACUUGCCUCAAGACCUGGGCUGGCAGACCUGAGAAUGUGAAGGCUGCUCAGGAGGUACUUCUUGUCCGCGCCAAGGCCAACUCACUUGCUCAGCUUGGCAAGUACACAGGUGAGGGAGAAUCAGAAGAAGCCAAGAAAGGAAUGUUUGUCAAGGGCUACGUGUACUAAGCUAUAGAAUGAAGGUGGAGGAGAAGAGAAAUCAAAUCCAAGAUUAAAUUUCUCAUGAUUGUGUGUUAAAUGCUUUAUAGCCUGGAUACUAUUUUUGUUCUUUUUUACAUGUACUUUUAGCCACUUAAUAAUCCUCUUGCUGAUGAGAUUAGUUAGUGUGUUCUUAAUAUGAUGCACCAUAUACUGAAAUGCUUCAAUAUCAGUUUGACAGUUUUCAAGCUUAAGCGCUUGAGAAAUUUUUAGCUAGACUCAAUUUACUAAUUUAGUGAAACAUGACACUAAAAUUAAGUGAUAAGGUUCACUGUGUUUCCAAGAGUAUAACUCAGGCUUCCUCCUUGGAGAAGAUAGUGUUGGAAGAGACGGCCACAAACCCCCGAAAGAAUUAGAAUUCUCGCAAGAUACCCUGAUAAAUAAAUUUAAAAAAAAGUACAAAAAAAAGACCAGUUUUGAUCGCUAAGUAACUUGGAACUGAAUUGUAAGUCAAGAAGUUAUCUGUGACUUCUUUGAUCACCAUAUAGCUGAAGCAGCAGCAACUGGCCAGAAAUAGGUCAGUAAGACUAAUAAUUUUAUUUAAUAUAAAUAUAUUAGUAAUUAUCAAUUAAUGAAAAUAUAUUGAUUGAAAAAAAAUGUAUUGAAAUUAUGGACAAUCACUUAGCCUUUAUUUAAUUUCUUAAUUAUGCAAUGAAGAUGAAAAGAAAUUAAAUAGAAAAAAAGAAAGGAAAAGAAAUCUAUUUUCUGUUAUAUUAUUUGGUUAGUUUAUGUGAGGAAGUGGAUAUAAAAGAAAAAUAAAUAAGUUUAUAAAGUUUGUUUUUACUGUUAUACCCUCGUCAUGUAUUCCUUUACUAUUUAUAUGAUGUAAGGGUGUAUUCAUA